GUGUGAACUCUAGCGUAUGAUACAUUGUUGACAGCCUCUCCCUGUUCAGAAUCCUGUUUAGAAAGAUGUAAUCUAGGCUUCGGGGGUCAUUGUGUUCCUUUUGUCUGAUACAAUCUUAUGAAUUCAAAGAUGGCUAAAUACAAUCAAUAAAUCACUCCCACACAGUAUGUGCUGCUCUUGCUCUCUCACAGUGACCUCUUGUGGAGAAAAGUGAUUCAGCGUAUGACACUCACGGGGGAAUGCGUUUCACCACCUCUUGGAGAACUUGGUGCAGAGAUCUACAGAAAACAAUUACAAGCCAAAGUAAAAUAGACUGUAAACAUAUAAAAACAUAAACAUGACUGGUUAUUUUAAGUAGAUGUUUACACAGAGCUCACCCUGAUACAUUCUCCUUUGGAAUAUCAAAGACUUUUUCAAUCUGUUUUUCCACUCGCUCUGGAUCAGCAUUUUUCAAAUCAAUCUGACAAUUAAAAACACAUUCAAUUGUGUCCUGCCUCUGUACUCGACUUGAGUUGGACAUGAAGACAUUACUAUAAUAUAUCCAAAGGACUAGAAUGAAUAAUUGCGUUUUUAACUUGCUUACUGUAUAUAAAAUGUUGACUGCAUUUAAAGGGAAGAUCAGAAAUGAUCUCUGGAAUAUCUACCUUGUUUAUCACAGGGAUGAUUGUCAGUUGAGCCUCAAAUGCCAGGUAGAAAUUGGCGACUGUUUGUGCUUGAAUUCCCUAAUUUGCAUCUACAAUAAGCAGAACUCCUUGGCAAGCGACGUCAUCUCUUUCAGCGCACUAACAUGUUAUUUCUAAAUAAAGAAACAAUAUUGUGGCUUCAAACUGCAUAUCGAGCAUAUCUUCCCAUCGAAAAAAGAUCCGAGGAUUAAAAUCCUUAUUUAAAAGCAUAUAUUCAGCUUUUAGAAACACAAACAGUCAGGUCUCCAUUAGGCUGUGUACUCUAGUGUGACAGCAACUGUAGGCCGCCAUGUUGGUAAAAGCGUCAUCAAACGUUGUUAUCGGCGCAAGAACUUGGAAUUAUGGGAAAUGCAGUUUAUAACUUUCAAUGCAUGUUAUAGUAAAAAAAAAUUGCGCUCAAAUGUUUCAGGAACUUAUUCAUUUUUUGCUCCAAGCUCGCUUUCAGUUUAGUAUUUUCAUCAACUGAUGUGGCAGUGAUUUUAGUGGAUGUAUGAAGUGAGAUCCCCUCAGGUUUACAUGGAUGCACAGUCUGUCCUUUUUUUAAAAAAUAUUAUUUAUUAUUUAUUAUUAUUAUUUUUAUAAAUUUACCUACCCAAGGAGCUAAUUUUAGUUAUAAAACGUUGUGGGAACAUCAUUUUUAAGAUGUUUCUAAAAAUUUUGACAUGUCCUAUUUUCUUUUCGUCAUAACAACCUAAUUUAAAGGUUACAAAAAUUUCUUACAACAUUCUCUUGACUAUUUCACCCAAUAUAAAAUUUCUUUUAAAUUUUCGAAGAAUGUUCAAAUGUCGUUUUUCUUGACAUGAUUAGAACAUUAUUUAAGGGUGUCUAAAACUUUUAUUGCAAUGUUCAGCUAAUUUUAUUUUUACCCAAAGUAGCCUACGUUAUUUGUAAAGUUUUUUUUUUUUUUUUCUAUUAUUUUAAGAAUGUUUUCUCUUAACAUAAAAACAUCAAGUACAAAUAACAUCAUAAAGACUUUCCGAGAAUGUUGAAAUCAGAAUGUUUACUCUCAAUGUUAUAAGAACACAAAUCAAAUCGUUUCAUAAACAUUUAGGAAUGUUUUGUCCUGACAUUUAUAUAAUUUUUUAUAAGUCAUAAUUGAAAGUUGUGAGCACAUUUCCUGUUAGCUGGGUGGACUGAUAGUUUGUCACAUACAAAGCUCAUUAAUUCAAGAUAAAAACAAAAGUUUUCCAUAAAAAAGAGUGACUAAUUAAUUAUACAGUUAUACAUUAGUUAUACUACUUAUAGCCUGCAAUCAUAUAUGUGAAUAAUAAUAAUAACAAUAAUAA
rnacentral:lncRNA from 1 species